GGGAAAACAAUGUAAAAUGCUAAUUUAUUUUAUUUUAUACUAGCUCAGCAUUUGCAAAUUAUUUUUCUAAAUAUUUUUUCUUUCUUUCAAGCUUCACACUUUCUCCCUUUCCCCAAAUUAACCCCUUAAAGCAGAAUUCAGUAUCCACCCGCAUCUGGGAAAUGUAGAUCAGUGUUUGUGCACUUGGGCAGCUCUUUUCCAAAGCUACAACCCUAUCUGGUUUUUAUUUACAAUACCAACAAAGUAUAUCAGUAUUUAGGUUUCUGUGUUUAGGAUUUUGGGUUCAUAGAAGCACUGGCUUGCCUUUAACAAUUCAAUAGCUUUUAUUCAAGUGCUACCACCUGGAUAGAAAUAAUACAGAUAUCUCAGGAAAUCCAUCCAAAUUUCACAAUAUCAGUGGAAGAAUAUUAAAUAGUUGUUUUUUUUUUGUUUGUUUUUUUUUUAAUUCAUAAACUCAUAGACAUAAUAGUGGAACAGGCACAUUGGGAGCUUUGCGAGAAAACUGUUAAUUUGUGCAAAUUUAAUCUGAAUCCAAGGUCAUAGCUAUUGGGACGGAAGAUGAAUUCUGUUUUAUUGUGUUUGUUGCUUUGUGGUUUUCAUAUUAGAAACUGUUACAGAUGUAUUACCAGAAAUGACCGUUUAUGAGAGGACAUUGACUAGCAAGCACAUUCACGCUUAAGAGUACACUAUUUGUGAUACUGUUCUAAGCUUUCUGUCAAAUCUGAGUCUCUGCCUGGCUUCCAUCAUGCCAUGACUCUAAAUGAAGGACUCAUUUGUUCAUUCUAUGUAAUGUCAAACAAAAACACGGUGCCACGACAGAAGAAAGACCGGGUGCAAGUCUGACUUAAUUAAUCACAGUACUAUGCUCAACACCCAGACACUUCCAUAACCUUUCAGUGUGGAGCUUUUCUGAGCUGCAGGAUAUGACUCAAAUUCUACCAGUUAAGUCAGCUAGGAAGCUGUGGUUUUCAUGCACCUCGACUCGUUGCCAAACAGGAGCGAAGACAUGCUCAUCUUUUUGAGAUGUGUCUAAAGCAUUUUAUCCGACCCAGUCUUGUUUUCUCUAUGAAUAUGCACUGGUAAUAAAAGCACAUGAUUUACUGA
ensembl:lncRNA